UCCUUCAUUUGCAGGAGCUGCUGCAGGAGGAAGAAGGCAAAGUGGUGUGUGGAACUGGGAGGAAGGAGACAGCAAGAAGAGGGGCCAUGAAUUGGCUUUUUUGUUGGUUUACUUGCCCGUUACACAAACCAGGACGACAAGAAAAACAAAGCCUUGACUUCUGAAGCUCCGUAAUGUGGACAAAGAUUUCAAAUAAAAUUCAGCAACAGGACAGACACUGUUAUGGCAGAGUAACACAGCUACCAGGGGACUCUGGACAUGUCAGACCUGUGAACAAGGAGCCUGCGGAAAAUCUUGCCCUGGGUUUCAGCUGAUGUUACUGCGUCAGCCUGAAUCACUGCAGGAAGGAUGGAGCAGCGAUGCUUUUCUGUUUCUCAGCACCAUCUCUUACAUUAGUCUGGUUUAUGUAACAUGCUAUGUUGCAUAGUUUCAUUUCAAUCUCUGCAGUGUUAUACUGUUGGCAUGUUACUAUUGCUAUUCGCUUAAAAAUAGAGAAGGUAUAACAGGGAAUGCAUGCUACAGCGAGGGUGACAGAUGGAAUUCUUCCACUUAUGUAAAAAAAUGCAAUGUAAUGAAUAUUUAUGCAAUUACUUUUUUACUGUGUAGCAAUGCAAUGUAUGGGUCUUUUUCCCUGAUUGUAGACCUUGCAAUGCUACAGCCUUCUGGAGAUUCUCAUAUAAAUCAGAUGCUGAGGAAGAAUCUGCUUUCUUCUCAUUAGGAAGCAGGAAAAAAAAGAUGCACCUUCUUUCAGAAAGUAGAAAAAAAAAAA